GAGGCUAUACUUUCAGGGAUCAUUUCUAUAGUUCGUUACUAGAGAAGGUUCUCUGGACAUGUACGAUAUCCAGAAAACAAAACCAAAAACAUUGU
ensembl:snoRNA U3 Small nucleolar RNA U3